ensembl:misc_RNA Metazoa_SRP Metazoan signal recognition particle RNA
GCCGGGUGUGGUGGGGCGCACCUGUAAUCCCAGCUACUCAGGAGGCUGAGGCAGGAGAAUCUCUUGAACCCAGGAGGCAGAGGUUGCGGUGAGCCGAGAUCAUGCCACUGCACUCCAGCCUGGGCAACAGAGCGAGACUCUGUCUCAA